CGCAUCUGUGCAUGCAGCAUAUCAAUAAGCGGAGGAAAAGAAACUAACAAGGAUUCCCCUAGUAACGGCGAGUGAAGCGGGAAGAGCUCAAAUUUGAAAUCUUAAAGGGUUUCCCUUUACGAAUUGUAGUUUAAAGAAGUGUUUUCUGUUGAGGUUUUGGUAAAAGUUCUUUGGAAUAGGACAUCAUAGAGGGUGAGAAUCCCGUAUUUGACCUUUACUUUCAACUUUGUGAUACACAUUCAAAGAGUCGGAUUGUUUGGGAAUGCAGUCCAAAAUGGGUGGUAAAUUUCAUCUAAAGCUAAAUAUUGGCGAGAGACCGAUAGCGAACAAGUACCGUGAGGGAAAGAUGAAAAGAACUUUGAAAAGAGAGUUAAACAGUACGUGAAAUUGUCAAAAGGGAAGCGUUUGACACCAGUGUUGUUUUUCUGAAAAUCAAUUAAAGAACUGUUUAUGCUAAGCUGUUUAGACUUUAUCAGCUAUCUGUUAGUUUUGAGCUUUUCUUUAAUGCACUUUUCAGUUAACAAGUCAACAUCAAUUUCUUUCUGCUGUAAAAAAGCUUGAGGAAGGUGGCUUGAGAUUCGUCUUAAGUGUUUAUAGCCUCUUGCCUAUGCAGUCGGAGAGAUUGAGGUCUGCAGCGUAGAUCCUUCGGGGCUAAAUGCAUUUGUGCUAAGCUAUAGCAUUUUAUAGACAACUUGUUGACUAUGAUUUGUCUUGUAGCUUACUCGCUUAUGUUAUUUUACCUACGCUUAGGAUGUUGAAUCUGUGCGAGACUAC
rnacentral:rRNA from 1 species